AUCAUUACAGUGUUGGCUGCCCUCACGGGUAGCAAACCUCACCCUUGUAUAUUAUAUCUUACAUUCUGAAAAUGUCGUCUGAGUACUAUCUAAUAGUUAAAACUUUCAACAACGGAUCUCUUGGUUCUGGCAUCGAUGAAGAACGCAGCGAAAUGCGAUACGUAAUGUGAAUUGCAGAAUCCAGUGAAUCAUCGAAUCUUUGAACGCACAUUGCGCCCGCCAGCAUUCUGGCGGGCAUGCCUGUCCGAGCGUCAUUUCACCACUCAAGCCUCGCUUGGUAUUGGGCAACGCGGUCCGCCGCGUGCCUCAAAUCGUCCGGCUGGGUCUUCUGUCCCCUAAGCGUUGUGGAAACUAUUCGCUAAAGGGUGUUCGGGAGGCUACGCCGUAAAACAACCUCAUUUCUAAGGUUGACC
rnacentral:rRNA from 1 species